GAGUUUGAUUAUGGCUCAGAUUGAACGCUGGCGGCAGGCUUAACACAUGCAAGUCGAACGAUGAUUACUAGCUUGCUAGUAUGAUUAGUGGCGAACGGGUGAGUAAUGCUUAGGAAUCUGCCUAUUAGUGGGGGACAACAUUCCGAAAGGAAUGCUAAUACCGCAUACGUCCUACGGGAGAAAGCAGGGGAUCUUUUGACCUUGCGCUAAUAGAUGAGCCUAAGUCGGAUUAGCUAGUUGGUGGGGUAAAGGCCUACCAAGGCGACGAUCUGUAGCUGGUCUGAGAGGAUGAUCAGCCACACUGGGACUGAGACACGGCCCAGACUCCUACGGGAGGCAGCAGUGGGGAAUAUUGGACAAUGGGCGAAAGCCUGAUCCAGCCAUGCCGCGUGUGUGAAGAAGGCCUUUUGGUUGUAAAGCACUUUAAGUGGGGAGGAAAAGCUAAUAAUUAAUACCUAUUAGCCCGG
rnacentral:rRNA from 1 species